AUUGAACGCUGGCGGCAUGCCUUACACAUGCAAGUCGAACGGCAGCACGGGUGCUUGCACCUGGUGGCGAGUGGCGAACGGGUGAGUAAUACAUCGGAACGUACCUUAUCGUGGGGGAUAACGCAGCGAAAGCUGUGCUAAUACCGCAUACGCCCCGAGGGGGAAAGCGGGGGAGCGAAAGACCUCGCGCGAUUAGGGCGGCCGAUGCCUGAUUAGCUUGUUGGUGGGGGAAAAGCCCACCAAGGCGACGAUCAGUAGCUGGUGUGAGAGGACGAUCAGCCACACUGGGACUGAGACACGGCCCAGACUCCUACGGGAGGCAGCAGUGGGGAAUUUUGGACAAUGGGGGCAACCCUGAUCCAGCAAUGCCGCGUGAGUGAAGAAGGCCUUCGGGUUGUAAAGCUCUUUUGUCAGGGAAGAAACACCGGCUCUAACACAGUCCGGGAAUGACGGUACCUGAAGAAUAAGCACCGGCUAACUACGUGCCAGCCGCCGCCGUAA
rnacentral:rRNA from 1 species